AUAAAUGGGGGAAAUGGUAGCGGACAGAGACAAUAAAUAAGUGCUCAGGAAAGGCGUGUCUUUGCUCCUUUCUACUCUUUUAAUUUUAAUUUUAAUUUUAUUUUUUUGUAUUGUUUUCUUCCAAUUUGUUACCAAUAUAGGCAGGAGGCAGAUAUGGAGGCAUUGUUAGAGGCAAUGGAUGAAGGAAGUGGAUACAGGUGGAGACAAUGAACUGAUACUGGGUAAGUUAUAUUGUUGCUCAUUUCU
rnacentral:ribozyme from 1 species